UGUGGUUCCCUUUAGUGCUCAUUGAGAGUGAAGGUGAAUUUGAUUUUGACUUGUAAAGCUGGGAAUCAGUCCAGUAACAAGCUAUUCCUGCUAAAUGAGUCAACACUUAAGCUACAGACUUUCCAAGGCCUUAGUCUUCAUGGCAGGAUCCUUGUUUUAGCUGCUUGAGGGGGAACUGAACCUUUCAGAUACAGCAGAAGACAGAAAACCCUCAAGAUCUUGGAAGAAAGGGGAAGAUGCUAGUUUCAGCAGUGAAUUUUGGAACUUGCCAGCUAAGCUACCAAAGGAAAAGUGAGCUGUGGUGAUUUACUUGAUUUACCUGAAAAUGCAACUGGCUUGGGAUAUAUGGACCUGGACAGAAGGCUGUGAAAAUAACAUGGUCACAUGGAAAUAGCAGAAAACACUAAUGGGGAAAGGCACAGGAAUGUUUCUUGCGGAACGAUCAGGGGAUGGAUGAUUAGCAAAUAGGGCAACUUUUAUGUAUUUUUUUAAAAUCUAAAAUGUAUUUAUUUAUUAUUACAUGUAACAAAG